rnacentral:rRNA from 1 species
AGGCGGGGCGGGGCCUAAUACAUGCAAGUCGAACGAACUCUGGUAUUGAUUGGUGCUUGCAUCAUGAUUUACAUUUGAGUGAGUGGCGAACUGGUGAGUAACACGUGGGAAACCUGCCCAGAAGCGGGGGAUAACACCUGGAAACAGAUGCUAAUACCGCAUAACAACUUGGACCGCAUGGUCCGAGUUUGAAAGAUGGCUUCGGCUAUCACUUUUGGAUGGUCCCGCGGCGUAUUAGCUAGAUGGUGGGGUAACGGCUCACCAUGGCAAUGAUACGUAGCCGACCUGAGAGGGUAAUCGGCCACAUUGGGACUGAGACACGGCCCAAACUCCUACGGGAGGCAGCAGUAGGGAAUCUUCCACAAUGGACGAAAGUCUGAUGGAGCAACGCCGCGUGAGUGAAGAAGGGUUUCGGCUCGUAAAACUCUGUUGUUAAAGAAGAACAUAUCUGAGAGUAACUGUUCAGGUAUUGACGGUAUUUAACCAGAAAGCCACGGCUAACUACGUGCCAGCAGCCGCGGUAAUACGUAGGUGGCAAGCGUUGUCCGGAUUUAUUGGGCGUAAAGCGAGCGCAGGCGGUUUUUUAAGUCUGAUGUGAAAGCCUUCGGCUCAACCGAAGAAGUGCAUCGGAAACUGGGAAACUUGAGUGCAGAAGAGGACAGUGGAACUCCAUGUGUAGCGGUGAAAUGCGUAGAUAUAUGGAAGAACACCAGUGGCGAAGGCGGCUGUCUGGUCUGUAACUGACGCUGAGGCUCGAAAGUAUGGGUAGCAAACAGGAUUAGAUACCCUGGUAGUCCAUACCGUAAACGAUGAAUGCUAAGUGUUGGAGGGUUUCCGCCCUUCAGUGCUGCAGCUAACGCAUUAAGCAUUCCGCCUGGGGAGUACGGCCGCAAGGCUGAAACUCAAAGGAAUUGACGGGGGCCCGCACAAGCGGUGGAGCAUGUGGUUUAAUUCGAAGCUACGCGAAGAACCUUACCAGGUCUUGACAUACUAUGCAAAUCUAAGAGAUUAGACGUUCCCUUCGGGGACAUGGAUACAGGUGGUGCAUGGUUGUCGUCAGCUCGUGUCGUGAGAUGUUGGGUUAAGUCCCGCAACGAGCGCAACCCUUAUUAUCAGUUGCCAGCAUUAAGUUGGGCACUCCGGGGGAAACUGCCGGUGACAAACCGGAAGGAAGGGGGGGAUGACGUCAAAUCAUCAGGCCCCUUAAGAACUGGGCUAACACCGGGCUAAAAGGGAUGGGAAAAACGAUUUGCCAACUCCCGGAAGAUAACCUAAUCCCUUAAAGCCUUUCCAGUUCCGAAUGGAGGGGGCACCUCCCCCAAUGAAAGCGGAACCCCUUAAAAUCCGGGAAACCAAUGCCCGGGGGAAAAAUUUCCCGGGCCUUUAAAACCCCCCCCUUCACCCAGGAAAUUUUUAACCCAAAGCGGGGGGGGGAACCUUUUGAA